GUACUUUGAUUUCUUGAUGGCUGACUAUGAGUACUGAAAACUCCAACCCCGCAGCGUGUAGUGCUGUGUGCCUCUCCUUAUAGAGUUAAACUCAGCCAGGCCUGCCCGAGAGAAACGCUAAACCGGCGCCACAUUCCUGCAGGAACUCUGUCACAGUCUCAGCUCAAACUGGCCUCCAGAUGGACAAGGUGAAGAGACAGAGGCCAUACCCAUGAGGAAGAGACUCUUGGCAGACAUGGAAUCUACUGUCACCUUAUUCUUGGAUUCUUAAGCCUCCUAAACAUUGGAGCUGCCUAAUGCUGACAUUCUCAGGCUGCACAGCAGAAGGCAUCAUGGGAAGCAGAAGGAGGCCUCACUCAGUGUGCUCCC
rnacentral:lncRNA from 1 species